CGGGAAGUAGCUCAGCUUGGUAGAGCACUUGGUUUGGGACCAAGGGAUCGCAGGUUCAAAUCCUGUCUUCCCGA
rnacentral:tRNA from 1 species